AACGAACGCUGGCGGCAGGCUUAACACAUGCAAGUCGAGCGCCCCGCAAGGGGAGCGGCAGACGGGUGAGUAACGCGUGGGAAUCUACCCAUCUCUACGGAAUAACGCAUGGAAACGUGUGCUAAUACCGUAUACGUCCUUCGGGAGAAAGAUUUAUCGGAGAUGGAUGAGCCCGCGUUGGAUUAGCUAGUUGGUGGGGUAAAGGCCUACCAAGGCGACGAUCCAUAGCUGGUCUGAGAGGAUGAUCAGCCACACUGGGACUGAGACACGACCCAGACUCCUACGGGAGGCAGCAGUGGGGAAUAUUGGACAAUGGGCGCAUGCCUGAUCCAGCCAUGCCGCGUGAGUGAUGAAGGCCCUAGGGUUGUAAAGCUCUUUCACCGGUGAAGAUAAUGACGGUAACCGGAGAAGAAGCCCCGGCUAACUUCGUGCCAGCCGCCGCGGUAAUAC
rnacentral:rRNA from 1 species